UUAAAUGAAAGGUGUAAUUAGAUUUCAUUUUGUUUUAAUAUUUUCUUUUGUAUUUGUAAUGUACGGGUAAAUUUCAUUGUAAUGCAAUCUAGCAUUCACAAAGCUACAUAAGUAAGUAUCACCAGCUGUAUCAGUAGAUUCCUUACAAUAUGUACACAGUUGUAAUUUAUUUCAUUUGCAGAUGAAAACAAAACAUUGAUUGUAUAUUCCUAUAGAAUGCUUAAUGCCUAUUUGGAAAAAAAAAAAAAAAAAAAAAAAAUAAAUAAAUAAAUACGCAACAGACAUCCAUAUCAUGUCACUUUAUCUAUAUCUCAUGAUAAUAUAUCGAUUCACAUAACGCUGUGUCUAAGACGAAACUUUAUAGGCAAAAAAGUUGCGACUCUGACGGCUGCCGAAACCACACCCACAAAAUAAAUGAUAACGAUGUUGCUCAUUGCAGACUUGAAGCGGUCUUCUGCAUGCGCAUGUCCGGAAGUGAUUAUCAGUUCGAGCGCACUGCAAAAAUACGCAAAUUAUUGCAUGUUCGCACGCAUUUAGUGUACAAUAUGUAUAAUAUACUGACUAAAGGUUAGAGUUAGUAUUACCAUAGUUACAAAACAUAUACAUUAAGGAUACUUUUUAUUCAAAUCGCUAUGUAUUGACACGCGUUAAUUGUAUAUCUAAAGCAUACCUUUUCUUACAUGUUUAUAUAUACAGGUCGGAACAACUCCAGAGAUGCCGAGAACGGCUGGUCGUUGGAAGAAUCGACCCAACGCCUUUGGUGAAAAGAAUGAAACGCUGUGUCUACAUAAGAUCGAAUCCAUCCUACUACAGGAACACCCACAAGACCACAUUUUGGUAGAGUGGGACCUCCGGUAUUCUGGUUGCCAUGGUGACAUAGAUGGAGGACCUUACAUACAGAACAUUGACGGAGGUGUUUUCAGAUUUGGAGCAUAGAGGGUUGUGCUUUAAAAAGAUAGUGUUCUGAGGCAAAGAUCAAGAACAUGCAUGCAUAUCAUGGACGAUGACGGACGAAGGUGUUGUUAGAUCUGGACCAUAAAUGAUUUUACACAUGUCUUUGUGUAAAUAUACAGAGAACAGGGUUACCAUGGAAAUGUACCUCUACACCUAGCCAGAGAUAAAUAGAUGACCGACGUCCAAGUCACCGAACAGCAGUGAGAGAAAUACUGCAACCGAUCACGUGACAAACGCUUAGUUUUGAAUAGCAUAAGCCUUGCUCAGAUCUGUACAUAUAUUCAGAUAGCUGAGACGUACCAUGAAUGUGCAGACGACAAGUAAAAGGUGCAGACGACAUCUGGGUAAGCGCGCGCAACUGUUCUAUUGUAUAUCUGCUUUUAUUCGUUUUGUUUUGUAUUGCUAUUUUUUCCACUAGAAUGAUGGGGUACUCGGGGAAAAAAAGUCACAGCAGGAUACAGAGACGCAGACCAAACAAAAUGUGCAUUUCUCUUUAUCAUAAACAGGUAUGUAUAUUGCUACCUAUGUUAUCCUAUUUUGCAUACAUUUCUCUGCAGAUUUUUCCAAACUGAUGGCUGAUGUUGAAUACAAGCACAUGCGAAGAUAUAAUGUUGUAGAUAUCGCAGUGGUUUAGCGGACGGUACAGCUAUGGUAACUAAUGUUGACUUCACAAGCACUGCAAGGAAGUCUUGUAGAUUUCACAAUGGUUUAGUGGAUUGUGCAGCUUGGUCGUUUUUCUAGGGCACAACGGGAGUAACUUGAGAGCUUCGGGCAUGCGCAUACAGUUUCUGGCUUUGGUGAUUGUAAAGCUCGAAGUAUUUGGUGAGAGACUAACCAACGAAGGACACAAACCAUCUGACGAGUAGCAGUUUCCUAGAUCAUACACGAAGAAACUUUUAGUUAAUGGAACUACAGUUGCCACAGGCCUGCCUUGCUGGUACCAUAAAGCUGCCGAUAAACAGAGGUGCACUAGUACCUGUCGAUACCGGUCACCAGAGACGCACUGGUACCCUAUCGAUGCCGAUCAUCAGAGGUGUGCUGGACCCCUUAUGUCAUGAUGUCAACAUAUUGAUCAGGUGUUUUCAACCAGCACUGAUCGAUGGUUUUAAUAGAAUUCAAAGCUUGAUGGACAUAUCGCCUGUAUUUGUCCUGUCGUACUCACGGUAAAGAGCUCUUCAACACCUCUUGCACAAAAACAAAAAAUCCUGGAUGGCCGGGCAGACGAAGACUUCAGUCAGGUUUGAAAAGGCAAGAAAACAGUUUUACGUUACUGAAAGACAUAGAAAAGAAUCGAUUGCAGAAACAUAUCAUCAUGCCGUCCUGUGUUUGUUAUUUCCAACAGAUGACAGUGCGAUGCGUUCCAG